rnacentral:rRNA from 1 species
GAUCAUGGCUCAGAUUGAACGCUGGCGGCAGGCCUAACACAUGCAAGUCGAGCGGUAGCACAGAGAGCUUGCUCUCGGGUGACGAGCGGCGGACGGGUGAGUAAUGUCUGGGAAACUGCCUGAUGGAGGGGGAUAACUACUGGAAACGGUAGCUAAUACCGCAUAACGUCGCAAGACCAAAGUGGGGGACCUUCGGGCCUCAUGCCGUCAGAUGUGCCCAGAUGGGAUUAG